GAAGUAAAAUUCCAUGGAGGACCGAACCGACCUCCGUUGAAAAGGCGGCGGAUGAGGUGUGGAUAGCGGAGAAAUUCCAAUCGAACUCGGAUAUAGCUGGUUCUCCCCGAAAUAGCUUUAGGGCUAGCGUUGCAGAUCAUUACUGGAGGUAAAGCACUGAAUGGGCUAGGGGCCGAGAGGUUACUGAACCCUAUCAAACUCUGAAUGCCAGAUAAUGCCGACUGCAGCAGUCAGACUGCGUGAGAUAAGUUUCGCAGUCAAAAGGGAAAAAGCCCAGACCCACAGCUAAGGUCCCCAAGAUGGUUUAAGUGGAGAAGGAUGUAGGAUUGUGAAAACAACCAGGAUGUUGGCUUAGAAGCAGCCACACAUUUAAAGAGUGCGUAAUAGCUCACUGGUCGAAUGAUCCUGCGCCGAAAAUGUAACGGGGCUAAAAUCAUCACCGAAGCUUGGGAUGCAUCGCAAGAUGCGUGGUAGGGGAGCGUUGUAUGAGGGGUGAAGCGUUAGCGGAAGCGGGCGUGGACUUCAUACAAGUGAGAAUGCCGGAAUGAGUAGCGAGAAUUAUGUGAGAAUCAUAAUGGCCGAAUGCCUAAGGUUUUUGGAGGAAGGUUCGUCCGCUCCAAGUUAGCCGGGAGCUAAGGUGAGGCCGAAAGGCGUAGCCGAUGCACAUACGGUAGAAAUUCCGUAGCCGCCAAAAGAUUUAAGCAAAGGGACACAUUGAAAGGGCAUGACCCGGGCGUUGGUAGCCCCGGGCGUAAGGGACCGAAAUUUAGUAGGGAAGCAUGCUUGGACGGUGGCGAGAAAAGCUUUGUGUAUAUCUUAGGCGCCCGUACCGCAAACCGACACAGGUAGGUAGGAAGAGAAUUCUAAGGCCAACGGGAGAAGGGUUGUUAAGGAACUCGGCAAGUUGACCCCGUAACUUCGGAAUAAGGGGUGCUCACGAGAGUGAGCCGCAGAGAAUAGGUCCAGGCGACUGUUUAGCAAAAACACAGGUCUAUGCUAAAUCGAAAGAUGACGUAUAUGGGCUGACGCCUGCCCGGUGCUGGAAGGUUAAGAGGAGAUGUGAGAGCAUUGAAUCGAAGCCCCAGUAAACGGCGGCCGUAACUAUAACGGUCCUAAGGUAGCGAAAUUCCUUGUCAGGUAAGUUCUGACCCGCACGAAUGGCGUAACGAUUUGGGCACUGUCUCACGACGAUUGCGCCGGCGGCCUUAAGCUUGCGCAGCAGAAUCGCGGUCUUUGGCUCCAGUAUCAGACAGACGGCAAUACGAAUGCCUGAGAAAUCGACGCGAGUGGUGAGGCUAUCCAUGGUGUCGCGUAAUACCGGCAUGUGCUGUUCCGCGUACUCCAUUGCCUCCAGUCCGCUUGCCUUGCGCAUAUCGGUGAUGGAAUCGAUGCUUUGUGUGCCGUCGCAUAGGAAUUCCUCGUUGUGCUCGUCGGUCAUCGUGGCAUCUUCGACGGUCAUGCCCCAUUGCUGGGCCUGAGACUUGAUUUCGGCAUGCUUCUGUGGCUCCGGAAUCGCGAGUCGGGCUCCUGCCAGUGAUCGAUUCGUCUUCUGGGAUCGGGCUGCCGCCCACGCUGCAAAAUCGCUGUCUGCUGUAAUGCUUUUCUUCAUAUUCCCCAUGGUACGCAUGCAUGCCGCUGCUCCGCCGCUGCGCGUGUGGCGUGGGUGAAGAGCGUGCUUGGGCGCGUUGCGUGCGUCGACUUCGGCAGCUUCGAACAGGCAUGUUGCAUCGAACAAAUGUUCGACUGUGUUGAUAUGCUGGUCGGGCCAGCGGUGGUAAGGAGGUGAUGGCGAUGGGCAGCGGAACGGUAUCGACGCAACGCGAGCAUACCUAU
rnacentral:rRNA from 1 species